UACGGAGGAUGCGAGCGUUAUCCGGAUUUAUUGGGUUUAAAGGGUGCGUAGGCGGUCCGGAAAGUCAGCGGUAAAAGCCCGGGGCUCAACCCCGGCCCGCCGUUGAAACUGGCUGGCUUGAGUUGGGGAAAGGCAGGCGGAAUGCGCGGUGUAGCGGUGAAAUGCAUAGAUAUCGCGCAGAACCCCGAUUGCGAAGGCAGCCUGCCGGCCCCACACUGACGCUGAGGCACGAAAGUGCGGGUAUCGAACAGG
rnacentral:rRNA from 1 species